UUUGGAAGAAGUCAAAUUCAAGUCCACACACAUUUUUUUCUUCUUUCUUAAUUUGUCCAUCAAUUUUACAUUAAAUUUGUGUAAUGAUUCGCUUCGAUUAUUAUGAGUAAGUCAAUAGUGAAAGAAUCAAGUUGGAAAUUUUUUUGAUUAGUAAUUUAAAUUUUUUAGGCUAGACUAGUGUUAGACGACAUCUGAGCCAGGUGAGGUGUAGGGAUAUUCAAAAAUGUGUUGAGUGAUAUGACUAGUCUUGGGUUACGUUCCCUAGUCACCAAGACAUUGUGAAUCCAUAAGGCCAUUCAGAAUUAAAUUUGGGUGAGUAAAACUUUUUGUAUCGAAUUUGUCGUGAAGCUCUUGGUUUAGAACGUCAAUAUUCGAAGGUGUACAUGUUGUAAAAUGAGGAUUUGAGGGAUUAUAUAUAUGAGGUUCUGCCUCCGUGCAAGCCGCUAUAGCGGGAUGAAUUAAUUCAUACAUCUGCUAUAGCGUGUUGGGCCGCUAUAGUAGACUUAGUCAAGAUUUUGUGCAGAAAAACCACAAAAAACUCCCAAUUUUCGCAAUUUUAUUCUCAAGACUUGGAAGAGCGAUUUUGGACAACUUCCGUUAGUAAUUCCACCAAAUUCUUCGCAAAGAUUUUGAACUCGAAUCUUCGUGAUUUAUCUUUUUCCUAUACUUCGCAUGAGGCUUUUCUAUGGAGACUUGAACGGUAGCUCAACGACCCUCUUGCUGAUCCUUUGCUAUGUUCUUGUUCUACUCUAUAAACAAAGACAUUGAGAUUAUUUGUAUUUCAUUUUAAUUAGUUGUAAUACAAAAGAGGCUUGUACACAUGUGACAAUCAUGUUUUUGGGGUAUCAUUGAGAUUGACUAAA